AAACUACUCCCUUCGUCCGGAAUUACUUGUCGUGGAAAUGGAUAAAAAUGGAUGUAUCUAGAACUAUAAUAUGUCUAGAUACAUUCAUUCCUUCGACAAGUAUUUCCGGACGGAGGGAGUACAUG
rnacentral:pre_miRNA from 1 species